GCCACUAUAGCUCAGUUGGUAGAGCAUCGGUUUUGUAAACCGGCGGUCAUCAGUUCAAGUCUGAUUAGUGGCUCCA
rnacentral:tRNA from 1 species